rnacentral:lncRNA from 1 species
UGGAAACGUGAGUCCUCCUGUUGGAAUUGACUGAAUUCCCCAUGAAUUAGCAUCAGGAUCUUUUCUGUUAACUUCAGCCUGUUCCUCACCUCCCCCGCCCCUCUCCUUCUUUCUAAGCGCUUUGCAAGAUUGGCAUUAUCCCGUAGUAGUGUCACAGCCUGCAGUCAUUUAAUGCCUCUUCUUGUGGGGUCAGGAUUCCACGCCCAAGUGCAUUUAGCAGCAAUGUGAUCUGUGAAAAUAUGCAGUUCCUACACACUGAUGUUAUUCAGAGUGAAGAGGUACCAGUUACCAAGCAAGUCAAAAGUAGCUGCACAUAAAUCAAUAGAACUACUCUAGCAUCAGUAGAAGACAGGAUUCUCUGGAAUAGACAAUGAUGCUGGGACUACUCUAGCAUCAGUAGAAGGCAGGAUUCUCUGGAAAAGACAAUGAUGCUGGAAAAGGUGGAAGGCAGCAGGAAAAGAGGAAGACCCAAUACGAGAUGAACUGACUCCCUACAGGAAGCCACAAAGCUGAGUACAGAGCAUUUUGGAGAUUGCUCAUUCAUAGGGCUGCCCUAAGUUGGAAGUAACUUGAUGGCACAUAA